GCUGAAAUAGUAAUUAAAGGAAAAAUAACAGCUUUGAUCUCCAUAUGUUUGUUUUACUGUUUAGUAUUUUUAUUUUGAAUGAAACGUGGGUGGGGUAGGGGACAUCAUAGUAACCCUUUUCAGGAUUAGGUUUGCCUAAGUUCUAUUGAUAAAUCUGGCCAUGAUUUAAUAAUACAAUUUUGUAAAAUUGUACAUAUAUAGUGGAUAUUCUUCUAUGCAGAAAAAGCAAUCUGGAUAAAUACACUUAAUUACACCUCUAAUUAAAAGUGGUUAUCUCUGAAGGAUAGAGUUUUAAUUUCCACAUUACAGAUUUCUGGAACUUUUAACAUUUUUUACAGUGAGUAGGAAUUCUUUUGUAAUCAGGAAAAUAAUGAAAAUUGAAAGAACAAAAUAGAACAAAUUCAUUUUACGCGGCAGGCAGGCAGGGCUUGUCUGGAAAAAUCACUCAUUAAUUGUGUGCGUGUGUAGUCUUACUGCCUGAUUUCAGCUCCUGAGACAUUGCUGCCAAAUUCAGCUGCAAAAUCUUUCCCACAAGCACAACCUGAAAGCUCACCCUUAUGCGCUGCAGUUUCCCGUGACAUCUUUGUGAACUUCCGCUGCCACCUCUGAUCUCUGGCCACACUCUGCUUGUCCCCCUGUCUAGCUUGGCUUGGUGGGAAUUCAACUAACUGUUAAGAAUCCCAAUCUGUUUUCCUCUUUUCCAGCUUGGCUCAAUCCCCUGGGACUGACAUUACUGCAGACCUUCUAAUGGAACCUUACUUCUUUUUCCUAGGGGCUGAAGCAGUUUGUCCUAUUAUCUUUGUGGAUGCAAUGAAGAAAUGUGAGCUGAUGAUGACCCUGCUUGGAGCAUUCAUAAAUGGUGACUCACUGUACCCAAAGAAGUGUGAUGAUGGUAGGGGUUAUGUCUUUCCAGUUGGAGGUUUUGGAACCCAGUCGUGUGAUGUUUCUAUCAGUGGCUCAAAUGAAGAUGUAGGUGUCCAGCUCAUCACACUUCCAGAUGACACAAGGAGGACCAGAAUCCCUAAUAGGUUGGAUGACAGAAUUGCAAUUAGAAUGAGCGUGACAGGCUGGAACAAUGAUCCUACAUGAGCAAACGACACUCGGAGGAGAGAGGGUCUGGAGUCCUACAGGUGGGUUAAAAAGAUCAGAGAUGCAAACAUAGGCCUGGGAGUCCUGGUUUAGGGACGAAUCACUUGAAAAAGACUGAAUUUAUGUGACAGCUAAUUCACUGUGGAUCAGUUGUAUGAUCCAGAAGUAUGAUGACUCCCAGGCUCCCUACCUGCCUUAGUAGAUGCAGAAAGCUUGAAACAGGAAAGAUUAAUAGUCCCACUAAGGUUCCGUAUUUUCCUAGGUUCAAGACUGAAGACACUUCUUCAGAGUAAUGUCCUGGGUAGGGCAACCUACAUCAGAAAGGACCUAAAUACCAAAUCCUAUUAGAAGAGUGGCCAUAAAAUGUCACCUAAACUAUGGUACAUUUGACAGUAAAAGAAAGUGUUAUUAACAAUAGCAAUGUAUAAUAAUUCUACUUUUGAAGCAUCAUUGGAAGAACUGGGACUUUUUAUACUAAAAAAGAAAAGAAAAGAAAAAAAAAAGAAUGCUAAUAGCCAAAUGGCUAUCAUAUGAGAAGGGGAAUAGAUUUCUAUGGCCUAUUUUUUUUUUUUUUUGACAGGUAAGUAGGAUUUACUGGUGGGUUUGAGUUAAGAGGGGACAGCACCAUGGCUCACAUGAGUGCAGGACCCACCAUUUGUCCAGGGGCCACAAUUAGGGAUAUAUUUGACCCCACAGCCAUCUGGUGAGAGCCGCUCUUCUGCCACUAUCUUUUCAAAGUCAUCUACAUUAAACUUAGUAACCAGUUGGUAAGGAAUCCUCCUGCAAUGCAGGAGACCCUAGUUUGAUUCUUGGGUCGGGAAGAUAAAAUAUCAAAAAUUCAAGUAAACCAUACUAUAUUUUUAAAAGUUAGUCUUAAAAGGUACAACCUUUUCCUGGAGAAGGGAUAGGGUACCUAUUCUAGUAUUCUUGGGCUUCCCUGGUGGUUCAGAUGGUAAAGAGUCCACCUGGAAUGCUGAAGACCUGAGUUCAAUACCUGGGUUGGGAAGAUCCACUGGAGGAGGGCAUGGCAAUCCCCAUUGACUGAGAUGCCUGGUGGGCUACAGUCCAUGGAAUUGCAAAGAGUUGGACAUGACUGAGCAACUAAGCACACACGCACAAACUUAGUAAAUCCUCACUUCUUGGAGAUGUGGAUCUUCUGAUGGCCAGGGAGCUUGAACCUGGCCCUGAGGAGGGCCUCAGUCACACGCUCUUUGUUCUGCAGCUUGGUGCAGAUAGACAUGAUUUGGCCAACGUGGACCCUGGCCACUGUGCCCUGGGGCCUUCCAAAGGCACUGCGCCUACCAGUCUGGAACCUAGAUUGGGGACAGCAUGCUAGCAUGAAGGUCCUGGAAAGGGCUGUCUCCAGGGUCCCUUUGAACAACCCACACAGACAACAUGCUGCAUAUAUUGUUUGCAGGCAUUGCACACUCGACCCUGAUGGGGAAAAGUGCGCGGUCGGUUUAACUGGCUACAAAUCUAUGGCCUACUUAAAAAAAUUAUUGUUUAAAAAGGAAUACUUUCUCAUUGAA
ensembl:lincRNA